rnacentral:rRNA from 1 species
UUCACGAGAGUUUGAUCCUGGCUCAGGAUGAACGCUGGCGGCGUGUCUAAGGCAUGCAAGUCGAACGGCUUGUGCGGAGCACAAGCCCACUAAUUAACGCUAAUGUUGUGGCACUUCGUGCUAGCACUAAUUAACACUAAAUUCGUGUUGAUUUAGUGUAGUGAGCGAAGCGAACAUUUGGUGUCUUUUAGUGGUCUCGCGCUCCGCGCGAGCAGUGGCAAACGGGUGCGUAACACAUUGGUAACCUACCCCUCAUAGGAGAAUAACCCCGCGAAAGCGGGACUAAUACUCCGUAUAAUCCCGACUCAUAUGGGUUGGAAUGAGAGACGCAAGUCGAUGAGGGAGGGGCCUAUGCCCUAUCAGCUAGUUGGUGAGGUAAUGGCUCACCAAGGCUCUGACGGGUAGGGGGCGUGAGAGCGCGACCCCCCUCACUGGGACUGAGACACUGCCCAGACUCCUACGGGAGGCUGCAGUCGAGAAUAUUCCUCAAUGGCCGAAAGGCUGAAGGAGCGACGCCGCGUGCAGGAAGAAGGCCUUCGGGUUGUAAACUGCUUUUUUCAGGGACGAACACUGACGGUACCUGAAGAAUAAGAGGUUGCUAACUCUGUGAACUUGGACCCCUUUUUGAGAAAAAGGUGUCCACACCUCCAAAAAGUCAAGGUGUCACAUAAAAAAUUUAUCAGCGGGCAAAGCCCGACCAAUAAAUUUUUUAUGUGAAUUUGGCGAAUUAAGGUGUAAAAGUUUGGUGCAGAGCUCCCGCAGUAAUGCGGGAUAGGAAAAUCUUCCUACUUCGCUAAAGCUACGCAGGACGAGACAUAUUUAGUGUCUCUGAUUGACGCGUAUGCUUGGUGAACGAGGACACUCCAUAGCUUUAUGCGACGGAGUGCGCUAUAUGCUGGAACAUCUUGCUAAUGUUUGCGUACCCCCGCAAGGCGGGGGUGACAAUCGCAAAAAGACCUACGAUUAUGAAUCGGUCUCGCGCGAGCGAGGCGAAGGCACUGUUGCCCGGUACAGGUCGCGAGACAAUCAGCAGGCAAUCCGCCCGAGGCGGAGCGCCUCAGAGACUACACGCGAGACCCCCGCUAAGCGGGGUGAUGAUAUAGUCCACGUUCCGAAUGGAAAUUGAGUUAAGGUGGCCAGCCCCGUUAGAAAUUGACGGGAGGUGGUUGCCGCUAAUAAGCAUUGUACAGUACUGACUUUCAUAUUUUUAUGAAAGGUACUCAAUGCAAUUUCUAACGGGGCCAGCAGCAGCGGUAAUACAGAGACCUCAAGCGUUAUCCGGAUUUAUUGGGCGUAAAGCGUCCGCAGACGGUUUG